rnacentral:rRNA from 1 species
GACGAACGCUGGCGGCGUGCUUAACACAUGCAAGUCGAACGGAAAGGCCCUGCUUUUGUGGGGUGCUCGAGUGGUGAACGGGUGAGUAACACGUGAGUAACCUGCCCUUGACUUUGGGAUAACUUCAGGAAACUGGGGCUAAUACCGGAUAGGAGCUCCUGCUGCAUGGUGGGGGUUGGAAAGUUUCGGCGGUUGGGGAUGGACUCGCGGCUUAUCAGCUUGUUGGUGGGGUAGUGGCUUACCAAGGCUUUGACGGGUAGCCGGCCUGAGAGGGUGACCGGCCACAUUGGGACUGAGAUACGGCCCAGACUCCUACGGGAGGCAGCAGUGGGGAAUAUUGCACAAUGGGCGGAAGCCUGAUGCAGCAACGCCGCGUGCGGGAUGACGGCCUUCGGGUUGUAAACCGCUUUCGCCUGUGACGAAGCGUGAGUGACGGUAAAGGGUAAAGAAGCACCGGCUAACUACGUG